rnacentral:rRNA from 1 species
GGCUACACAUGCAAGUCGAGCGGUAGAGAGAAGCUUGCUUCUCUUGAGAGCGGCGGACGGGUGAGUAAUGCCUAGGAAUCUGCCUGGUAGUGGGGGAUAACGUUCGGAAACGGACGCUAAUACCGCAUACGUCCUACGGGAGAAAGCAGGGGACCUUCGGGCCUUGCGCUAUCAGAUGAGCCUAGGUCGGAUUAGCUAGUUGGUGAGGUAAUGGCUCACCAAGGCGACGAUCCGUAACUGGUCUGAGAGGAUGAUCAGUCACACUGGAACUGAGACACGGUCCAGACUCCUACGGGAGGCAGCAGUGGGGAAUAUUGGACAAUGGGCGAAAGCCUGAUCCAGCCAUGCCGCGUGUGUGAAGAAGGUCUUCGGAUUGUAAAGCACUUUAAGUUGGGAGGAAGGGCAGUUACCUAAUACGUGAUUGUUUUUGACUUACCGACCCAAAAAGCACCAGCUAUCUCUGGGGAAGUUCAUUGGAUGUCAAGGCCUGGUGAGG